AAGUAGGGUUUUCAAAGCAAAACUCCUCUUUCCAUUCCGUCUUCCUGCUGCUCUUCUCCUUAAGAGUGUUGACUUAUUGGUCCAACCAACUCCAUUUCCUCCUUUUUUGGGUGAUCAACAUUCACCUUCGUGGGUCUUCAUCCCUUCAAUCAACUUAUAGAUUGUGUUCUCUUGUGGAUAAGGAUUAUCUCCUUUUUUGGUGAUUUUAUAAGGUCCUUCGUCUUUUGGGAGAAGCACCUUAGGUACACUUUUAACUUCAUUCUUGACUUUCUUUUUUCUUCUUCAUAUUCUUCGUACUUGUUUAUCUUCAAGGUGUAGGUGGUAUAAGAUAAUGGAAUGCUCAGAAUCACCAGACCCUUUCAGUGAAUGUCAAUUCCCAGGUGCCAAUCUGACCUAAUGACUCUCCCUUUUUGUUGCGAGUCCUUUUUGCAUGCUGAAUUUCUAUAGGCUAUAUUACUGUUUACUUGUUUUUGUUAUCGUGUGGCCUACAUAUAGUCUUAUGAUAGACCUAAGUUGUAGCCCUCCCUCUACAUUUUACUCUUUUGUUAAAGAAACUCUGACAGAUGAUAAGGCAAGAAAUUUCAUCCCGCAAACGCAAUUCAAUAGAGAAGUGUGCGUUCCACCUAACCUGGUGACUUUCCUUAGCCAUUUAUUGCGUGUUUAUUGACGAAGUUAAUGACAAGUCCUAAUUUUAAUUUAGAAUUUCACAAGUAUCGGGUGAGUAGAAUAAGGAUAAGAGAAUGCAUGUUUAUCGCAAGGUAAUCCCACGCAUACACUUUAGAUCCUCAUUCAUGUUUACCCUGUUUGGAUAUCAUUUUUAGCCUAUUUCUCAUAGACAAGGAAACAUUCACUUUUAAUCAACCAUAUCAAAAAAAGCAACUCAUGGCAACAAUUCAAAUAGCAUACAACAUUACAAGUAGUAUUAACAUCAAAUGCAAUUGCCAUUUAGUCACAAGCACAUUUAUUACAUGAGUCAUCAUGACAAAAGAGAAACCUACCAUAACUACUCUCAAAGCCUACUUGUGUAAUAUAUUGAUGAAGUCUCAUACUCCCACCAACAUUAAGUAGUACUUCUUGAAUAACUAUAGUUCAUCCUAAACUUGACCUUGUGGGAAUUAACUUCAACCGACAUAGACAAGGAGAGCAUAAUUAUGGAAUUUGGUGUAUAUGCCACAACGAAAAGAGGUUAUCCUACUUGCCUAAGGUAGGAUCAAACUAUUAGUUUAGGUGGAUCCACUAGUUUAUGGGAUAAGGGGAGCUACUAGAAAACCUGGUUUCUACUAACUGAGAAAUUCUAUCCCAAGAGAUUGUUCCUAGAAAUUCGGCCUCUACUAUCUUGAGGACUUCCAUCUCAUAUCACUAUCCACGCAGUGCUAAACAUCAUCCCCGUUGAGUUCAUAUUAAGUAUUGACUUAAAUUGAUAAUUAUGGAAGAGUGUCUUGACACUUAAUCCACCAAACUCAUGCUAAAUCUCCUAGAUUCAAUAGGUGAAACUAGUUUUCCAACCUUAGAAUCACUAUAUGUGACAAACCUUUCACGUUAUAUGAUAUUCAUACCUAAGUGUGUACAUGAGUGUAAUUAUUUAAUCAACACAAUAAUUAGAUCAUAGUAUAUUCACUUUACUCUCGAAGCAAUCUAAUUCACUUUACUCUUAAAACAAUCUCAUUGCGAACACACAAGUCUCAUUCACAUAGCAAAUUCUCAUGUUUUGCCCUACAAGAACUAUAGAUCACAUUCAACCAACAUAUCUAGAAUUACUACAUUAGACAUGGAUGGUAACAUGAUUCAAAUAAAUAAACUACAACAAUAUAAUCUCCUAAUAUUUAUCUCACAACAAUUCACCCAACCAUAAAGCCACAAAUUGGGGACUUGAGGGUUCAUGGGUUUUUAGAGGAAAUUCAACAUCAAAACAAUACAAAUUCCUAAAUUAAUACAUAAUUCAAGUAAAUCGAUUGAUCACGUUCAUAAUUAUGUAAUAUUUAACUUACAUCAAUCAAUAUACACACUUAAGAUUCAUUUUGAGAAAAUAAGGGAAAUACAUGGGUUCUUGAGGAAUUCAACUUGAAAUAAUUUUAAAUUAUCAAUAUAUCCAUAAAAACAUAAUUCAAUCAAUUAAAGAGAAUUUGAAAGUAAUCCAUGAGAUCGAAGUCAAACCCUAACUUUUAGUUUUCAAGUUUUAAAAUUAAGGGUUUUGGAAGGGCUCUAUGGGUAAAGGCUACCCAUAGAUGAAAAGCUACCGUACCUUAAUUCAGACUCACCAUGAAUUUGGGAAGAAAAAGUUAGAUUCUUCAAUCCUAGCUUCUCCUUUCAUCAUCUUCUUCUUCCUUGAAAUUCUAGAGGGAAGAUUUUAGGAAAAAUUAGUUAUGGAUUUUGGUCUUUGGAUUUAUGAGGUGUAAGGAUUAGUUAAUGAAUUGAAAACACUUAUAUAAGUAUAUUAAAACAAUAAAAUGACCCCACAUCAAAUAAAAUAAAAAGGAAGUUACCAAAAAGUCCCUAGCAUUGGCCGAAAGGGGGCAGCCCCACGGACUGUGGUUGGGUCUGCGGUACAUGCUGCAGGUCUGUGGUUCAUAGCCUGCAUCUCCUCACCUUGUCCCUUGACCCACGACACCCAACCAUGAGGCAUGGGUCCACCUAUCGGCCAUAGGUGCCAUCCGUAGGUGUGUCUUUUUUGGCGAUUUUUGGGUGAACUUUUAGGGUGCUUCUCAAGGACCCUUGGUUGGUUCUUAAGAAAUCAUACCUUGACGUUUAAAUCCUAAACCCUUCAUUCUAAGUACGAUAAUCCAUUUUACAAUUCUAACCCACACACCAAACUCUAAAACUCUUACGUACAACUCUAGUUUCACCUACUAGUUUUGGGUGUUACAUGAAAAUCCAUUGAAGGAUGCAAAAAUCAGAUUAAUAACCCAAAAAUGUCAUUAUAUCGGAAAGUAGAGACCCAGUAUGUUAUAGUAUUUUGAAUCUAUUUCUAUGUGUUUUUCUUUGUUAAUUGUUGUUUAGGAAUGAUUGUUUGUGUAACUCAUCUUCAAUUCAACUUUAGUACGUAGUAAUACAUUUUUAGUUCAACUUUAGAAAAACAACUUAGACUUGUUCAAGAAUACCUAUUUUGGUCACUUCAAUAUUGUCUAUUGUCUAGUUGAAGCUUCUCUUUAUUCUGCUUAUAUAGUAUGCCUCUUUUCUUAAUGACCUUAACAACUGCACCAAGAUUUUUUUGUGGUAAAUUCCUAAUACCUCUAUUAAGUUUCGGGAUAUUUUUAGUCGUCAUGUCCCUCUUAUUCGAGGACUUUUUCUUUCUCGGAUUGAUUAGUUGUUUAGGUAAUUGACCUACACCUUUCUGAAAUUCUUCGAUGAAGGAUAUGUCUAAGUAUUUGAUACUCAUCGAGAAAGUGAGUAUCUCUAUUAGUGACUAUGGGCAAGUCUAUCCGUUCCUAUUAAGGGGAACCCCUUUGUUCUUGUUAUUAUUUGAUUUUUUUUACUGAUUCUAGUCAAUAGUCCCAAGAAAAUAUUCAGAGUUAUUGUAACCUUACGUAUCCUCUUGUCCAUCUGUAAAAUUCCACAAACUGUGGGGUGGUAAUUAGGACUAGAUGCCCGAUCGAUCACAUAACCAGUAAAGUGUGAAUAUCUAUAAGAUAUUUUAGGAGAAUGAGAAUUCAAAAUUGUUGUUACCACUGUAAAAGGAAGUCUCCUUAACUUCAAUCUUCUUUACAAUUCUCCUAACUUCGUCUAGCUCGCCUUCUAACUUACUCUGGACUUUUACUCAUUAAAAAUUAUCGUAACCACCUCUGCACCACUACAUUAAUAACUGAAAUGUCAGUAGUUAGUUAGAAGGGGAGAUAGAUGAAGUUAGGAGAUAAGAUUGAAGUGAAAGAAGACUUUACUUUACAAUCAACAGACGUCGUCUAAUUUUGAUUUCUUACUUGACCACCUAGUCCUAAUUACCACUUCACAGUUUAUAGAUUUAUAUAGAGAGGGAGAAAAGCAUCCUUGAGGUGAAUCAAUUUUACAAUAGCUCUGUUACUUUCUUGAGAAAGAUAAGCUACCGCCUGAAAUCAAUAAAAAAUUCAAAGAAUAACAAAAAUUAGAGGAAGAACAAAGGGUUUGCCCUCAAAGGUCCUAUAAGCCCAAGAGUCGAGGAAAUUUUUUAAAACAACAAUAUUUUAGCCACUCCUUAGCAAUAAUUUAACUAUUUAUUAAAAAUGACAAUAUUUUAGUUUGUUAAAAGAUGAGUCAUGCAUUUAUUUUAUUCUGAUUAAUUUGAAAGAAUACAAAUAAUUAAUAACAGAAUAGAUAAAAUCAUGGAAUAAAAAAAUUUAAAAAAGGAAAAAUUGAUUUUAAAUAUAAAUCAGUUACGUUUGGAAAGAGUAUAUGUUGCAAUUUUAUCUUUUGAGCGUUUUUUUGCCCUGCAUUCUUAAGAAUUCCAAGAAAGUUUUUGCAAAAAAAUAGUUUUGUCUUCCGAAUCAUUCAAUCGAUAGUCUUCAUAGCUUGUUUGAGUUGACUUCGAUAUAUUCAUAAAACAAAUGUCUUCAAAAUUCAUGACUAUAAUUUCGCCAGUUCCAUCGAAUUCGAGAAAUUUUGACAUCAAGUAUUUUUGUUUUUGUUGAUUAUUUUAUUUGUUUGGAUAAUAUAUUCGUAUAUCAGGUAUUUUUAUUUUUCUUAAUUAUUUUGAAUCGGUGAAAUCUUUGUAUGGUUUAAUAUUUUUAGUUCUUUAAAAAUGUUUUGUAUCCAUUAUGUUUAAUGUUAAUAGUAACAAUAUGAGAUUUUCGUAUCCCAUUAGUUCCUCGAUGAAAUUAUAUGUUUUAUUUA